rnacentral:rRNA from 1 species
AUACGUAGGUGGCCAGCGUUGUCCGGAAUUAUUGGGCGUAAAGCGCAUGUAGGCGGUUUGGUAAGUCGGUCGUGAACAUGCGGUGCUUAACGCCGUAUGGCGAUUGAAACUGCUGAACUUGAGUGCAGGAGAGGAAAGGGGAACUCCCAGUGUAGCGGUGAAAUGCGUAUAGAUUGGGAAGAACACCGGUGGCUAAGGCGCAUUUCUGGGAUGGGUCGGCAGUUCAGAUGCGAAAGCCAGUGUAGCGAGCGGGAGUAGAUGCCGGGGUAGUCCUGGUCGUAAACGAGGGGUACUCGUUGUGGGAGGAAUCCCCCCUUUGCGUGCCGGACGUAAAGUAAUACGGACCAAGGCUGGGGAGCACGGCAGCACGGCUUAAGCUCAAACGAAAAUACGGGG